UAGUGAGUUUGAUCCUGGCUCAGAACGAACGUUGGCGGCGUGGAUUAGGCAUGCAAGUCGUGGGAAUGCCUCGCAAGAGGCGGAACCGGCGUAAGGGGCAGUAAGGCGUAGGUACCUACCCGGGGGUUGGGCAUAGCCCGUAGAGAUACGGGGUAAUUCCCAGCGAUGUCGCAAGACCAAAGCUCCGGCGCCCUCGGAGGGGCCUACGUGAUAUUAGCUAGUUGGUGGGGUAACGGCCCACCAAGGCGAAGAUGUCUAGCGGGUGUGAGAGCACGACCCGCGCCACUGGCACUGAGACACUGGCCAGACACCUACGGGUGGCUGCAGUCGAGGAUCUUCGGCAAUGGGGGCAACCCUGACCGAGCGACGCCGCGUGGGCGAUGAAGGCCUUCGGGGUUGUAAAGCCCCU
rnacentral:rRNA from 1 species